UACGUAGGUGGCAAGCGUUGUCCGGAUUUAUUGGGUUUAAAGGGUGCGUAGGCGGUUUUCUAAGUCAGCAGUGAAAUACGGCAGCUCAACUGUCGAGGUGCUGUUGAUACUGGGGGACUUGAGUACUGAUGAGGUAGGCGGAAUGGACGGUGUAGCGGUGAAAUGCUUAGAGAUCGUCCAGAACACCGAUAGCGAAGGCAGCUUACUAAGGAGUAACUGACGCUGAGGCACGAAAGUGUGGGGAGUCAAACAGG
rnacentral:rRNA from 1 species